rnacentral:lncRNA from 12 species
GUAGACUGCAAUGCACAUAAAUCCCAGCAGGGGUUCAAUGCCAGGAUUCUGAGAGAGAAAGAAAGACACCCCGGCCCCCCUUCCCCCUGCCCCCAAUUUCUCUCCAAGUUCCUGCUUGGAGUGUGGGAAAGGAGACUCCGGCAGAGGGGGACUCUGCUCUCCUGCUGGGUGCCCACCCCUAAGGGGAGCGAACCACCGGGGUGCAGGCCUUGGGUGGCAAGCCGCAGAAAGGUGCAGAGGAGAUGGGGCCGAUGACAAGCACUGAGGGGAAAGCAGAGAGUGGAGGUCUGAGAGUGGCUGAGAAAGGAAGAACAGCCGCCCUGGGAGUCCAGGAAAGUGGAUAUUGCCUACUGGGUGCCCCUUGUCCAUUUGUCCUGCCAAGAUGAGGCCCCAUCCGGCCUGCAGUUCUUUGGCGCCUUCUCCCAGGGGCUUUCUCAGGCCCCGGGAAAACAGAGUCAUUUUCACUGAGGAAGCAAAUCUAACCAGAUGACCCAGGACUGUGGUGUGGGGCAAACAAAAGGACACUUGUCCAGAAAGUUCGUUCUCCAAUCCCCUUGGUCAGUACACCUUUCUAUUCUCAACUCUUGUCCCUGUCACACAGGAGGCAACUCAUGAGAACAGAUUGUACCAUUCUCCUUGCAGACAUGACCUUGUCUUCUUGGACAUUCUAGUACCCAUCCUCUCCUCAAGCCCAUUUUCACCCUACAGUUUAAAGCACUCCCACCUCAGGUCCUCACCCUCUCCCACGCACUGGGGCUGGAGGCCCAAGCCCAAGCUGGCAGGCCCAGCACGGUGCAGCCACUGCAGACUCACGUCUCGUACAAUUGUGCAUCUGAAGGGGAUGGACCCCUCUCAGAUUAUCCUAACUUGAAUGUGUCAUCUGUUUUUUGUUGGGAUCCUGACCGAUGCAUCCACUAUUCAGAAGCUCUUCUUUCAAGGUAAUAUCUUAACUUCUACUGUCAAACUUCCCCCAGCUUCAUGUGCUCCUGGGAAAAUCUCCCACUUGCUGGUUUGCUAGUUCCUCCUAACAGCUUCCCUGAGGUGCACACUGUGUGCAAAACUCCAAAAACUUUUCCUCACAGAAUAUUGUCCUAUGGAACACUGUGGAAUUAGACCAACUCUUUUGGGAAUUCAAAGUAGUGUUCCAGUUGUGGGUGCAAAUUUGUGGAUGUAUAAUUUAUGUCAAAAUAUGCGGACUCUCCAACAUUGUUAGCAAAUUGGUGUGGCUAUCUAAUUUAUAACUAACGCAUCAAUGACUAUAAGGAAAAAAACCUGAAGUAAAAGGCAAUAAUAUUUCAUAUUAGACUUGCUUAAAGAUGGCCACAAUAGUCAUUGUUAACCACACAUUGAUUGAUUGAUUGAUUGAUUAACAAAGCCAGCUGAGACCAGACUUAUAUAUAAAUUUUCUGAAAGCUUAUCCUAAUAAAACUAUUAAUAAAUGCUAUGGCCUGGAAAUG